rnacentral:rRNA from 1 species
UACGUAGGUGGCAAGCGUUGUCCGGAAUGACUGGGCGUAAAGGGAGCGUAGGUGGUGACUUAUGUUAAAUGUGAAAGACCGGGGCUUAACUCCGGAACUGCAUUUAAUACUGGGCCACUAGAGUACAGGAGGGGUAAGCGGAAUUCCUAGUGUAGCGGUUAAAUGCGUAGAUAUUAGGGGGAACACCAGAGGCGAAGGCGGCUUACUGGACUGCAACUGACACUGAGGCUCGAAAGCGUGGGGAUCAAAC